GAACUGAAGAGGCGUAGAGCAGCCCGGGGUGCAGGUGCGCUCGGUACCAAGCGGUCUUCAUUCCUCCUGUUGCCGCCAGAGGGCUCAGAAAAAAAAACAUUUUGAGAU
rnacentral:lncRNA from 1 species